CCCGGGCGCCCUGGAGGGGUCUCCGCCCGGAGCCUGGCGCCGCCUGGUGACCUACAUCUUCUUCAGUUCCAGGGUCUCCCUCCGCUGCUGUAGUAACCCGGGUCCGGGGCCUCGGUGGUGCUCCUGAUGCCCCUCACCCACCCCUGAAGAUCCCAGGUGGGCGAGGGAAUAGUCAGAGGGAUCACAAUCUUUCAGCUAACUUAUUCUACUCCGUGAGUAUGGGGCCGGGCCUGCGGUGGGGUGGGUGGGGCCAGGCUUGCUGGGGCUGCUCUGGGGCCACAGGCACUUCUUGUGCAUCUUGCUGCCCGUACCUGUGAUUGAAUUUAACCCUGGGAACCCUGAGUUUCGUCAGAGCCAGCGCACAGUCUCCUGCAGCCCAGGCCUUGCCUGAGCUCAACACGGCCUAGGCCCAAGCCUUAGCGCUGCCGGGUUCUUGGAGUCCUGUGGGGUGAGUCGGGGUUCUGAAUUGGGCUGCACCCCCUGGACAGGAUGAUCGGCUGAAUGUAACAGAGGAACUAACAUCCAACGACAAGACGAGGAUUCUCAACGUCCAGUCCAGGCUCACAGACGCCAAACGCAUUAACUGGCGAACAGUGCUGAGUGGCGGCAGCCUCUACAUCGAGAUCCCGGGUGGCGCGCUGCCCGAGGGGAGCAAGGACAGCUUUGCAGUUCUCCUGGAGUUCGCUGAGGAGCAGCUGCGAGCC
rnacentral:sRNA from 1 species